UACGAAGGGGGCUAGCGUUGUUCGGAAUCACUGGGCGUAAAGGGCGCGUAGGCGGCCUUCUAAGUCGAACGUGAAAUCCCUGGGCUCAACCCAGGAACUGCGUCCGAUACUGAAAGGCUUGAAUCCGGGAGAGGGAUGCGGAAUUCCAGGUGUAGCGGUGAAAUGCGUAGAUAUCUGGAGGAACACCGGUGGCGAAGGCGGCAUCCUGGACCGGUAUUGACGCUGAGGCGCGAAAGCCAGGGGAGCAAACGGG
rnacentral:rRNA from 1 species